rnacentral:misc_RNA from 1 species
GUGGAACCUAAAUUUGAGAAGGGAGGUCUUAUGGAUGUUGAUCAGGAGGAUAUGAUGAUAUUACUACCCUCUCUGUUUGCCUCAAAAGAUAUGCCUGAUAAUAUUGUAUUAAAAUCUUGUACAACUGUGGGCUCGAAAAGAAAACAAGAGGGACGACACAAUUGGGAGAGGGAGAUGGAGCCGAGUCUUGCAAUUGAUUUUGCUAUCAAAGAGAUUCCAAAGCCAGUGGACUGGGAAAAGUACAUUCCUCAGGGCUCAGAUCGUUGGAGAUGGCAGAAGGCAGUAUCUGAAUUGUUUGAAGAGCGUAAAAUUUGGGCCAAAGAGUCAUUAGCUGAGCGCUUACAUGAUAGGGGUCUGAAAUUUCGAGAUAACAUGCUAAAAAGACUUCUUUGUGGAGUAGCAUAUUACUUUUUGAAUGGGCCUUUCCGUAGAUUCUGGAUAAAAAAAGGUUAUGAUCCUCGUAAGGAUCCCGAAUCCCGCAUAUACCAGAAUAUUGAUUUCCGAGUGCACCAUGAAUUACGAAGCUACUGUGAGAGCCG